CUUACUGUCUCUAGGAAGAUUUUAUGUUCUUUCUUUGGUUGAUGAUGAAAAAUGUUGUCUUUGGUCCUUUUGUGUGUGGGAGAAUAAAUUGUCUUGCAUAAUUAUGGUUUAAAUUUUUUAUUGUGGCCGAUUUUUUAAUAUAAAUAGUUAAAUUGCCGCUCUGUGAACUUCACAUCUGAAAGUGAACCUCAGCCAUGGUUUGAACAUUGGUUCAGAGCUGUGCUGUCCCACAGAAAUUUCUGCAAAGAUGGAAAUGUUCUUUGUUGUUCAAGGUGAUGAGCUCUUGAAAUAUGGCUAUAGUGAUUGAAACUCUAAAUUUUAAAUUUCAUUUAAUUUUAAUUAAUUUAAAUACAAACGGCCAUGGUGGCUACUGGGUACCAUAAUAAUAGUGCAGGAUACCACAGGCUCAGAGGUUGAACGAUAGAUGUGCUCAUGUGAAUAAACUGAUUUUCCAGGGAUCAGGAAGGGCCUUCUCUCCAAAAUUGCUGCCCCACCAACCAGCUCACAAUUUGUGAAAUAGCUUCAGUAGCAACAGAGCUGCUUGUAGACUGAUUGUAUCCUCUCCAAAUUCAUAUGGAGAAAACCUAAACCCCAUUUGAUAAUACUGGAAGGUGAAGCCUCUGAGAGGUCAGCCGGUCUUGAGGGUGGAGCCCUCAUGUGAUGGAUUAAAGACCUCAAAAGAAGGGACAUGAAAGAGCUUCCUUCUCUCUGCUGUCCACCAUGGGAGGACACAGCAAGAAGAUGGCUGAUGUGCAAACCAUGAAGAUGGCCCACACCAGAUCCUGACCAUGCUGGCAUCUUGAUCUCAGACUUCUCAACCUUCAGAAGUGUGAGAAAUAAAUGUUUGUUGUUUAAACAACUCAGCACGGUGGUUUGUUACAGCAGCCCAAGUUGACUAAGACAGAAGUCUUGAAUGCAGGCAUCACUGGGACUUAAGUUCUUGCCAGGGUUGGAGGCGGUGGUGGCUCUAAAGUAAUGGAGCACCUGGCUCUCGGGUUUGUGGCAAGGAGGAAACAGUGGCUGAGAGGUCUUUUAAAUGCCUUCGCUGCCAACUUGUUUGAGAACCACACAAAAGAAUGUCGAAAUUGAAAGAUACUCCUGCUUUAACAAAUAAUUGAUGAAUUUCAUUAGUUGGAACUCAUUUUACCUUAUCCUUGGCGGCUGGCUUGAGAAAAGGUGAGGAGUAACUCAGAAAUUUCUGG
rnacentral:lncRNA from 1 species